UUUUUUUUUUUUUUUUCUCUUUCUUAUUCUUAAAUCUUAACAAUUUUCAAUGAACUUUUUAUAAUACCCAGUGAUGAUACUCGGUUGUACCAUUCCAUGAUCACUUUGGAUUUUCCUUUGGUCGUCUAAAUAGGUCACUUUUGCUUGAGCAAUAAGUAUUUGGAUUGUUUCAAGUAUAAGCAUUAUUUGCGAAGAACCUAAGAUUAAUCGCAAGUGAUGAAGGUUUUCUGCCUAAGUAUUCCUAUAUAUAAAAUUAAGAAUAUCGUCAAAAAAAUACAACAAUGAACUUUCGAAGGUAUGCAUGAAGGGUGAAAUACCUCAUUAAUUAAAGCUUGAAAGGUAAAUGGUGCAUUUAUCAAUCCAAAUGACAUAAAUAGAAAUUCAAAAAGACGAUAGUGGGUUAAAUAACUUGUCUUCUUUACAUAACCUGAGUGCAUGCGUAUCUAUUGGUAACUCGAGCACAAAUCAAUUUUUGUAAAGUGUUUCGUCACAUGCAAUUCAUCUAAUAACUCACCAUUAACGAGAAUGAAAAAUUUAACAUUUAUACAUAUUCAAAUAACGGUAGUUAACACUAAGAUGCCAAGUACAAUCUUGCUUUUCUACUAAUAAUACCAAAGAAGAGAACGGAAAUUGGCUUUUACAAUCAAGCCUUGCUAUGACAUUGCUUUACUGUUUCUCAAUUUCAUUCUUUUGGAGAUGAAGAUUGUCGCAAGGUAUUUUGUGGUCGCCUGGACGAACACUCACCG
rnacentral:misc_RNA from 1 species